rnacentral:rRNA from 1 species
GUCGAGCGCCCCGCAAGGGGAGCGGCGGACGGGUGAGUAACACGUGGGAAUUUUCCUCAAGGUACGGAACAACUCAGGGAAACUUGGGCUAAUACCGUAUGAUGCAGAGAUGCCAAAGAUUUAUCGCCUUGGGAUAAGCCCGCGUCAGAUUAGGUAGUUGGUGGGGUAACGGCCUACCAAGCCUGUGAUCUGUAGCUGGUCUGAGAGGACGAUCAGCCACAUUGGGACUGAGACACGGCCCAAACUCCUACGGGAGGCAGCAGUGGGGAAUCUUGCGCAAUGGACGAAAGUCUGACGCAGCCAUGCCGCGUGAAUGAUGAAGGUCUUAGGAUUGUAAAGUUCUUUAGCCUGUGACGAUGAUGACGGUAACAGGAGAAUAAGCCCCGGCUAACUUCGUGCCAGCAGCCGCGGUAAUACGAAGGGGGCUAGCGUUGUUCGGAAUUACUGGGCGUAAAGCGCGCGUAGGCGGUUAUGCAAGCCAGAGGUGAAAUGCCUGAGCUCAACUUAGGAAUUGCCUUUGGAACUGCAUGGCUUUGAGGACGAGAGAGGUGAGUGGAAUUCCCAGUGUAGAGGUGAAAUUCGUAGAUAUUGGGAAGAACACCGGUGGCGAAGGCGGCUCACUGGCUCGUUUCUGACGCUGUAGCGCGAAAGCGUGGGGAUCAAACAGGAUUAGAUACCCUGGUAGUCCACGCUGUAAACGAUGAGUGCUAG